rnacentral:rRNA from 1 species
CUACGGGAGGCUCCAGUGGGGAAUAUUGCACAAUGGGCGCAAGCCUGAUGCAGCCAUGCCGCGUGUAUGAAGAAGGCCUUCGGGUUGUAAAGUACUUUCAGCGGGGAGGAAGGGAGUAAAGUUAAUACCUUUGCUCAUUGACGUUACCCGCAGAAGAAGCACCGGCUAACUCCGUGCCAGCAGCCGCGGUAACACGGAGGGUGCAAGCGUUAAUCGGAAUUACUGGGCGUAAAGCGCACGCAGGCGGUUUGUUAAGUCAGAUGUGAAAUCCCCGGGCUCAACCUGGGAACUGCAUCUGAUACUGGCAAGCUUGAGUCUCGUAGAGGGGGGUAGAAUUCCAGGUGUCGCGGUGAAAUGCGUAGAGAUCUGGAGGAAUACCGGUGGCGAAGGCGGCCCCCUGGACGAAGACUGACGCUCAGGUGUGAAAGCGUGGGGAGCAAACAGGAUUAGAUACCCCUGUAGUC